CAAUUGCAAAUAUGGCAACCUUUAGUGUUAUAUUUUUGGAAUAAUCUGCUAGCAAGUCACAGAUCACAGCAGAUUGUCGCCAUGCUGGAUGUCUAUCUGUUGGGGCUGCUUAGAUUGUGCUUUUCCUGCAUGGCAGGGGGUUGGACUGGAUGACCCAUGUAGUCUCUUCCAAUUCUAUGAUUCCAAUAUGCAACAUACAGCUUUGCUUACUCGUCUGCACUGGAGCAUUGUCUGUGGUCACUACUUCUGUAAUGGUGGCAGGGAAGCACAUGUCCUUUCAGUUACUCAGAUCAGCUACUACUACUUUAGCCCAAAACUACCAUGUGGAAUAACCCAUCAUUGCUAUGAAUGUGAAGUUAAGAUUCCUUCUCCCUCAACUUCUUUGAAUCUAUAUGUAGCCGACACUAUCUCCUGGGCAAAAGAGUUGUGUUCCACUUCUUUGUGGAAUGUGGAAUCGUUGGACAAUCUCUGGCACACCAACAAGAGAUCACUUUCCUUUUUAAUUCUCCUAGCAAGGAUCUUCCACAGGAGGGAGACCUUUCUCUAGAUAGAAAGGCUUGAGCAGAGCCUGCUACUUGGAUACUUGGGAUGGAGAUCAGCAGGGAGAAAGGCUUACAUAAAAUUGAUGAGACUGCUAAUUGGAAGAAAUUAUCUUUCUUUGGGAAAAAAAACCCAGGCUAUUCAGAAUUCUCUGAGGAUGGAAUGCCUGCAAUGCUAGUGCAUCUAAAUGAGGAAUUCUGAAGACAGCUGCUGUUUACCUUGCCCAUCAGAAGCAAUGAAGCCUAACUCAAGAGGCAGUCUUGCCAGAGAGGUACUGGACAAUAAAAGGAGUUUUUUGCCAGGCAGAACAAGGAUGGAAUGUAACUUCUGGGAAAAUGCCAGAAAAGCCUGGGGAGGAAGGGCUUUAUAUCUCUGCAGCUUGAUGAACUGGGACCGGGAGACAAAGCAAACUAGAAAUGAUUCAGGUUCUUAGAUUUUCAUGUAAUAAUAAACCAUUAUGUACUUCUA